rnacentral:piRNA from 1 species
UCAACCACAUAGAGAUGAAGACCCAUUUU